AAACGCUGAAGGCAUCUAAGCGUGAAGCCCCCCUCAAGAUGAGAUAUCCCUACGAUUGAGUAGUAAGACCCCUUGAAGACGACGAGGUAGAUAGGACAGAGGUGGAAGUGUGGUAACACAUGUAGCUGACUGUUACUAAUCGGUCGAGGGCAUGACCAAG
rnacentral:rRNA from 1 species